rnacentral:lncRNA from 1 species
CUGAUGCUCAAGUUAGAAAAUUAGAGAAUAGAAGAAAGAGCAUGCUGUUGGGAGAGAAGUGAUUGUAUACCUAUAGGAUCCCUCUUGGCCGUCUAUUUAUAGGCGAGGGUGGAAGUGGACGUAGAGUCUGAAGAAUCAGAUUGUUAUCCUUGUCUUGUUGGAUGAGAUACAUUUAUUACACCAUGACUUAUUUGGAGAGAUAUGUCACUAUCUCUCUUCCUUAUCUGCCUAGAGCAAGCUGGC